rnacentral:tRNA from 1 species
GUCCCUGUAGCUCAGUGGAUAGAGCGCUUCCCUCCGAAGGAAGAAGUCAGAGGUUCAAAUCCUCUCAGGGACG